AACGAACGCUGGCGGCGCGCCUAAUACAUGCAAGUCGAGCGAGAAGGUGUAGCAAUACACUUGUAAAGCGGCGAACGGGUGAGGAAUGCAUGGGUAACCUACCCUCGAGUGGGGAAUAACUAGCCGAAAGGUUAGCUAAUACCGCAUACGUUUCCGGAACUUCGGUUUUCGGAAAGAAAGCAAUACCGUGGGUAUUGCGCUCCUGGAUGGGCUCAUGUCCUAUCAGCUUGUUGGUGAGGUAACGGCUCACCAAGGCUUCGACGGGUAGCUGGUCUGAGAGGACGAUCAGCCACAC
rnacentral:rRNA from 1 species